rnacentral:lncRNA from 1 species
CGCUUUGAAGUGAGCCGCUGCCGGCCGCGGGCCGCCUGGACGUCCCUGCCGCCGAGCCGCCGGUCCCGGGCUGGCGGCGCGUGUUUAUCCAGCUUCAGGAGCAGCCUGUGUCACCCGCCCGCUGCUGUCCUCACUUCAGAGAGCGCAAGAAACUAGCCCAAGCCACACCGCUAAUAAAGGCAGAAUUUAAACUCAGCGUCAUUUGGCUCCAGAGUCUUCCCUGUACCCUCUCAUUCUGUCCCAUUUUUCCAAGGACACGGGCCCUGCUCAGGGCUCUUCCAUCAACCGUCCAAGGGAACCUGGUUCCUGUCUACCUUUGCAUCUGUAUUGACCCUCACCUCUCAGACAGCAGCGGCGUCCAGCAACCUUUUAGAAAUUCAGACUUUCGUGCAUCUCUCCAGACUUACAACAUGAGAUUCUGCGUUUUCAAAGAUCCCCAGUGAUUCGAAGACUGAACUGCUGGGACAUUUAAGCUAAAAGCCUCUGUUGGCAUUGCUGUUUUUGACACUGAUCUUCGCUCAUCAGACUGGGACCUCUCCAUGGACAGGUGCUGGACCUCAGCCACUAGCUGAGUGAAUAGGACGCAGAUAGGGCUCCACUUCCCG